rnacentral:rRNA from 1 species
UACGUAGGUGACCAGCGUUGUCCGGAUUUACUGGGCGUAAAGAGCGCGCAGGCGGUCGUUCAAGUCGAGUGUGAAAGCCCCCGGCUCAACUGGGGAGGGUCACGCGAUACUGGUCGACUCGAAGGCAGGAGAGGGUAGUGGAAUUCCCGGUGUAGUGGUGAAAUGCGUAGAUAUCGGGAGGAACACCAGUGGCGAAGGCGACUACCUGGCCUGUUCUUGACGCUGAGGCGCGAAAGCUAGGGGAGCAAACGGG